GAUGAACGCUGGCGGCGUGCCUAAUACAUGCAAGUCGAGCGGACCAAAGAGAGCUUGCUCUCUGAGGUUAGCGGCGGACGGGUGAGUAACACGUGGGUAACCUGCCUGUAAGACGGGGAUAACUUCGGGAAACCGAAGCUAGUACCGGAUGAUAAAGAGAAACGCCUGUUUCUUUUUUGAAAGUCGGCCUUGUGCUGACGCUUACAGAUGGGCCCGCGGCGCAUUAGCUAGUUGGUGAGGUAACGGCUGACCAAGGCGACGAUGCGUAGCCGACGUGAGAGGGUGAUCGGGCACGAGGGGAGUGAGACACGGCCCAGACUCCGACGGGAGGCAGCAGUAGGGAAUCUUCGGCAAUGGACGAAAGUCUGACCGAGCAACGCCGCGUGAGCGAUGAAGGCCUUCGGGUCGUAAAGCUCUGUUGUCAGAGAAGAACAAGUACCGGAGUAACUGCCGGUACCUUGACGGUACCUGACCAGAAAGCCACGGCUAACUACGUGCCAGCAGCCGCCGUAA
rnacentral:rRNA from 1 species